GUCCCGUUGACGCAGUGGUUUAGCGUGCCGUUCUUAUAUCUCCUUGUGAAACAUUCGAGGAAAUCAUACUGAAAUGCGGAAGUCGUGAGUUCGAUCCUCACACGGGACA
rnacentral:tRNA from 1 species